rnacentral:lncRNA from 1 species
UUUUUUUUUUUUUUUUUUGCCAAACAUCUGCAGAGAUAAAAGAAAAUAAACCCUCCGCAUUAAUGAUAAAGAAAACAAACAAAAACCAUAUCCUGUAAUGUUUGCAGCAUCCUAAAGAAAAUAUGACAGCCACCAGGACAUUUUACAUCAGACCCAUGUACUUGGACCAUCCUAUUGCCAAGAUGUAGCAACUUACUUAGGCCUCAAAACUUUUCCUUUGUCUUAAAGUAUGCAAUUCUCACUUCUUUCUCUCUGUGCCAUAUUAGAGAUGUGUUUAAUUCAAGAAAUACAAGAGCAAGGAGAGAACAAAGAUAAAAUGACAAAUGAUAGCCAAGAAGGGAAUUACUAAAAUCUACCAAAUUUUAGAUAGUGGAGGGGACAUCAGUUAUAUGGUGAAUCCAAUUACAUCUGGGUAAGUCAAGACAGUAGCAUUUGUCACGGUGUCAAGCAAAAGACACAGUUAUCUUUAACACCUGUGAAACUGUUCAAUAUGUUUUCAGAAUAAACAAAGCAAAGAAUGACAAAAAACAGACAUCCUGGUGCUGAUUCAUAUACUGUUUCUAUUUACCACCUAUAAGGUAAAUGCCUGUCACAUUUCCUCUGUGAAACUUCAAACUCCCUGAAGACAGAGAAGGUAGCUAAUGGGUGUUCUCUGAUCCCACCAUUCCACACCCAGACCAUUCUGUCAAGAGUCAGCAAUUGCUCACAGGGUACAGGAUACAGAGUCAACUAAGAAUCUCAUUAUACUAAAGAGAUUUUUUUUUUCCUUUUUAGUAACACUGUUUUGGAGCAAACCUGAUUUACUAUAUGAAGUAACAAAAUCUCUGUAAUAAUUGAUUCCAUAAUUGUUACCAUUCUUUGAAGCCCCAUGUCUAAGAACUUUAUUUUGGAGACAUGUACACUAUGAAAAACCUCCAAAAUCAAUAGGUUGUUGGCUCAUGAACGUAUUUGAGCAUGGCUCAAUGAGCAGGAUUCCACUGGAUCUACCCAGAUUGACACAUACUACAAGUUCAGCUUUGAAAACUUACUCAGAACUUUAUCUAUUUUAGAGGCAGCUUUUAAUGUAAGCACAAAGAUGUUAAUCAUGGAAAGGGAGGGAAUAAUUUUGCCCUGCAACACGUCCUUAUAUAGGUCAUAUACUCCAAAAAUGACUCUUUGCUACUGAUAUCUCAUGAUUAGUCACCAAGUUCAGUACAUAUUUGGAAAGCAUGUACUUACAUGUAAUUAGCUAAGUUAAGUUAUGGAGACAACCAUGCAAAAAUAGGAAAAAACAUUCUCAGGGUUCAAUGUGCUAGGAUGCAAUCAAGAAAAAAAAAAAUAACACCUCUCACACACAUUCGCAAAGCAAGAGUCAAGUGUGCCACUUCUAAAGGCUCCUCAGUUUCUUUGUAGGGACUUCCCAAGCCUCUUUCACCUCCUUUCCAAACAAACUCACCUUCUCCUGCCUCUGCCACACCAGAAUAUUCUAACUCCUCCAAAUCUUGAAGGUUCUUCUUUGAGAGAUAUACUCUUCCUUCUGUCCUUAGAUUCUGCUCAGUUCAUCUGGCAUCAAGUAUUAACCUACCUAUCUCAUAUUGGGAGUGAAUCCUUUCUCUACACAGUUCAAACAGAUACACUCUUGGGUCUUUUCCUGGAUCUUUCUUUCUACCCCUUCACUUACUCCCUUGAGGGAGAGAGAGGGUGACUUCUUUAAUGGGUGACUGCAGGAAGCAUGAACGAGGUAUCCCAGGCUCAGCAACUCCCUUCUUCCUCUAGGGAGUGGGGCUAUCUUCUGGGAAGACGUGUUUUCCUCUGAUCUUCAUGCCAAUAGUUUGAGUUGCUCCUUUUGGGCCCACAGAGAGGCUUGUCCCUGCCACUGUGGCCUGUACUCACUUCCGGAGUUUGGCAUCAGCACAACAGAUAAACCCCGCACUCCAAGCUGACCUUUACUAGUAAUAAAGGUGAUAUUUGCCCUGACAAUUAUUUUGUCCUAUCUCUUAAUUUUUUUUCAGAACUUGGGAGUGUCUGAGAAGUGUCACUAUUAUGGUUUAUAACAAAGACUCUGGCAUCAUCUGUACAUGUAUACAUUAAUAUACAUAAGUAUAUAUAUUGAUUAAAUAGCUUAAAAAAUUGAUAUGAGAUUGUGUCCCCUAUCCCUGCCAGGAUAUAAUUUUGGGUUGUGUCUCAUAAAUCUUUGUCUCCAGGGCUUCACCACAAUGCCCAAUAUAUAAUAAAAAUAUGCUCAUAUGGGUUUAAGCCAUGACUAUACUAUCCAAUUAAGGACAUAUAGACGAUUGAAAACAAAACUUAGGACUGUAAUAUUUGUGUGUCCAGCUACUGGUUAUGACUUUAUUAAUGUAUUUUUGGAUCACUUAGAAGUAAUAGCAUAAAUUUAAUAUAGAGUAUAAAAUAUGAUAAAUACUGCGAUCCUGCAGAGUAAAUUUAACUGUACACUGAGCAAGAAGAGAGAAUAAAAGCUAAGGCAUAUACUCAUUUCUUUCAUUAAAGUCCAUCAGAAUCAUUUCAACAAAACCCUGUCUUUGAGUUUACAACAAUCUAACAGUGAAUUUUAUGUAAUAUAUAUCAAGGUCUAAUUUCCAAAGCAGUAAUGGCAAUCAUAAGACAAAUUUUCAUGUACCUAUGCCUUAUAUUUUCGUGUUAUACAUUACAUUAUCCAUUGCUCACUCUUACAUAAAAAGCCUCCCAUACACAUUAUCCAUUGCUCACUCUUACAUAAAAAGCUACUAAUGUGCAGUGUUGUUGGGAAAUAAUGACUUGGUUGUCUAAAUGUGUUUUUGAGUGUUCCUCCAUGAAAAAACAAAAGUAAAUUAAACGCACAAGAUUAUAAUUAUGUCAAGAUAAACACAGUAUUUCAAUAAAACUCCAGAGGUCAAUUAACGUGAUACGUUACUAAUUUCUCUUCAAUUUUACUUCUAGCACACAAUCUUUUUUUUUUUUUUAACUGAAAUAUGCCUUUAUGGAAUGCUAACUGAAUGCUAGAACAAACAUAUGGUACUAACAAGCAGUCCUGAAACGCAAUAAUGCUGGUAAUGAAUACUUAUAGAAAGCCCUCUUCUCCAGUUUUCAAAAAUGUUUCACACAUUUUUUCCUUCGACUUUCACAGUAUCCCCUUAAAACAAGAGGGUAAAUAUCAUCAUAUCCACUUUAUAAAUGGGGAAACCGAGGCUCACAGAGGUUCAGUGAUACUUCUAAGGACUGGCAGGGCUAAUGCUCCAUUACAUAUUGCUGACUUCCAUUUGGAGAUUCAAUAGUUACCAAGCACCUACUGUGUAAUAAACCUCAGACUAAGGCUGAACUAAAGAUGGUUCCUGGUCUCUCCCCGGUCAUCCUAUUUGACAGAGGACCAGUCAUCAACAUGCAAAUGGCAUGUUCAAUGUACUCCUUUAAUUUUAUAUACAGAAAAAAACAAAAAUAAAUUUGCAAAUAUUUUUCCUAUAAAAGCAAAGCUAGGGAAGACUGCUUUAAAAUUAAUACAGCUUAAUCAUUUACUUUAGAAAUUAAAAACAUGUUUCAUUGUUACUUCUCAAUGCUCAAAUUCAAAUGAUAGUGUUUCAAUUAAAAUUGAGACUCCAAAUUAAAAAUAUCCUUUGGCAUUUUUAAAUGGAUCACUUAAUCUUCUAUCAAAUGAAUGAGAAUCUGAUCACAUAAAUUAGUCUACCUCAUUCAUGUACCAAAAUGUCAAAAUGACUCUAAUGAAACAAACUUAGAUUUACAUAGUCAUAGGCACUGUGAUGAGAAUGUUGCUAGAGAAGACCCUUUCUGAAGCUCUGUUCUGGGGUUUUACAUAUCAAAAAUCACAGACAGGUAUCAGCCCCACUCUGUAGCUCUCAAGCCGUAAUUUUAAUGGAAGGCUGCCUCUUCAUAAGUGCAGUUGUCUUAAAAUGUCAAAAUAGGAGAGAGAAGACCCAUGUUUAGUCCUGAAAUGAAAAGGAACAGCACUCCCAUUGCUUUUUAUCUAUCUCUUUGCCUAUAAGUUAAUCAAUGAGUAGUAAAUACAUUUGGAUUUCAGGCAGGUUUCCUUUGAGGCAGGAAUAAAGAGAAGCAAUUGUGAUGCUGAGAAACCCAAUGAAGCAACAAAAAAGAAAAGUAGGUGCAUGAGUCAAUCAGCGGGUGAGGUGACCCCGCAAUUGAAGCCUCACUCUUGCUGAUAAGCUGGCAGUAGACAGUAGAGCAUGUGCUCAUUACAAAUGAAACACAAACCCCCACCUCACACCUCCAGGGGUUAUCAAUCUUCUGGAAUUGAACAAGCAGAGAGGUAUGCCAAAGUGUGUUUUACUUGUCCAUCCCCAUCCCCUUCCACCACCUUCUUCCUCUAGAGGACCGUUAACUUCCUAUUUGCCUUAUACUUUCCUUGUCUAAAGUCCAUCUAUGUUUUAAAGAACUCUUUUAAUAAAUGCAGC